UACAGAGGGUGCGAGCGUUGUUCGGAAUUAUUGGGCGUAAAGGGCGCGUAGGCGGUGCGGUAAGUCACCUGUGAAAUCUCCUGGCUCAACUGGGAGCUUGCAGGCGAAACUGCCGUGCUGGAGUGUGGGAGAGGUGCGUGGAAUUCCUGGUGUAGCGGUGAAAUGCGUAGAGAUCAGGAGGAACACCCGUGGCGAAGGCGGCCUUCUGGGUCCGCCCUGACGCUGAGGCGCGAAAGCGUGGGGAGCGAACGGG
rnacentral:rRNA from 1 species